rnacentral:lncRNA from 1 species
UACCGAGGCUGCACUUGUACCUACAUGAUGCAUCAGGGGAACCCGGUUCCAGAUAGAGCGGGGAAAAGGUCCACACCAGUUCAAUCAGGUACUAGGCUUCCCGAUCCCAUACUCAAUAUGUGCUUAGUACUUUCAAACACUUGACCACAACUCUAACAUAUUUCGACCUUAGCAGCUUCCCUCUAGACAGACGGGGCAAUCCACCAAUUCAGAAUAGAUUUCCU